rnacentral:rRNA from 1 species
GUGGGGAAUAUUGGACAAUGGGCGCAAGCCUGAUCCAGCCAUGCCGCGUGAGUGAUGAAGGCCUUAGGGUUGUAAAGCUCUUUUGUCAGGGAAGAUAAUGACUGUACCGGAAGAAUAAGCCCCGGCUAACUUCGUGCCAGCAGCCGCGGUAAUACGAAGGGGGCUAGCGUUGUUCGGAAUCACUGGGCGUAAAGCGCACGUAGGCGGACCAUUAAGUCAGGGGUGAAAGCCUGGAGCUCAACUCCAGAACUGCCUUUGAUACUGAUGGUCUCGAGUAUGGAAGAGGUUGGUGGAACUGCGAGUGUAGAGGUGAAAUUCGUAGAUAUUCGCAAGAACACCGGUGGCGAAGGCGGCCAACUGGUCCAUUACUGACGCUGAGGUGCGAAAGCGUGGGGAGCAAACAGGAUUAGAAACCCUUGUAGUCC